rnacentral:hammerhead_ribozyme from 1 species
AUCCAGGAGUCCCAACUAGGACGAAACGCGCGUCUUGGAU